rnacentral:rRNA from 1 species
UGGGGGAUAUUAGGCAAUGGGGGAAACCCUGACCUAGCGACGCCGCGUGAGGGAAGAAGGUCUUCGGAUUGUAAACCUCUGUCUUCGGGGAAGAUAAUGACGGUACCCGAGGAGGAAGCCCCGGCUAACUACGUGCCAGCAGCCGCGGUAAUACGUAGGGGGCAAGCGUUAUCCGGAUUUAUUGGGUGUAAAGGGUGCGUAGGCGGGGAAUCAAGUUGAAUGUGAAAUACCGUGGCUCAACCACGGGGCUGCGUUCAAAACUGAUUUUCUUGAGUACAGCAGAGGCAAGCGGAAUUCCCAGUGUAGCGGUAAUAUGCGUAGAUAUUGGGAGGAACACCAGUGGCGAAGGCGGCUUGCUGGGCUGAAACUGACGCUGAGGCACGAAAGUGUGGGGAGCAAACA